rnacentral:rRNA from 1 species
AGAUUCUUGCAACUAUUGAUCUUGAACGAGGAUUUCCUAGUAAACGCGAGUCAUCAGCUCGCAUUGAUUACGUCCCUGCCCUUUGUACACACCGCCCGUCGCACCUACCGAUUGAACGAUUCGGUGAAGCUUUCGGACCGCGCCGUUGGCUUCUAGCCGGCAGUGCGGGAAGUUAUCUAAACCUCAUCGUUUAGAGGAAGGUGAAGUCGUAACAAGGUUUCCGUAGGUGAACCUGCGGAAGGAUCA